GCGGGUCGCGUGCGUUGGGCACCAGAGCUUCCAAGGCUCUGCGCGGGGUUCGACUCCCUGGGUCCGCUCC
rnacentral:tRNA from 1 species